rnacentral:lncRNA from 1 species
AAAUUACGAGUUCAAUUAGAACACUCCAUAAAUACUUACUGUAAGACCCAAAUUUUGCCCGGGACCCAAUAAAACCAAACCCGAAUUAAACCUAGCCUAUUAUCCAGUUACAAGCCCAAACUCAAUUUUGGCCCAACCUAAUCCCAACCCAAACACAAAAAAUAAAUAAAUAAAUAAAUAAAUAAAAACCUUGGCCACCUACUCCACCACCUUUGUUGGCCACCCACCUUGGCCACCAACUCCACCACCCUUGGCCACCUAAACCACCCCAACCACUCCACUUGUAAAAUUUGGCUAUAAAAGCCAUUCAAGACUUUGUUUUUAGGUGGUGGGUUUUUGGUUUUUUGGAGAAGGAUUGUUCUUUGUUUCGGAGGAGGUUUUUUUUUGUUUUUUGGAGGUGUUUUUUUUUUUUGGAAAGAAGGUUAUUUUUGUUUCUUGGAAAGGCUAGUUUUUGGAGAUUAAUCAAAGAUCAAAGCAAAAGAGGUUUCUUUUGUCUAUUCUUAUCUUUAGUUCUUUGUUUGUUUAUUGUUUUCCUUUCAAUUUUAUUUUCUUCCUUUCAAUUUUAUUUUGUUUUUUUUAUACGAAAGUAAAAAUAAAAGUAAGAAGCUUACCCAUAUUUUCAUUAUCGAAAAAGGUUUUUUUGAGGUCCGGCCGCCGUGUACGGUGGCGCCGAUGGCGGCCCGUGGGGGUCCAUGGCCGAAGCAAAGCCAGACCAACGACCGGGUUUAGAAAAGAGGGAGAAAGAGAGUUGAGAGCUUUGUUUUAUUAUUUUAUUAUUUUUACUAUUAUUUAUAUUAUUAUUAUUAUUUCUCAUGUAUAUAUUAUUAUUUAUAUUAUUAUAUUAUAUAUGCCCUCUCCAUAUUUAUUUAUAUUAUUACUAUCAUUAUUGUUACUUUUAUUAUUUUUUAUUUCUAACUACUAUUAUUAUAUAUAUGUAUUAUUGUUUGUAUUAUUAUUAUUAUUAUCACCCCUAUUGUUAUUACUUUACUUUUGUAUUCUAAUAUAUUAUUAAUAUUACUCAUAUUUUUAUUAUUUUUGCUAUCACUAUUACUAUUAUAUAUUAGUGUAUAUUUUUAUGUAUAUAUAUAUUUAUAUAUAGUAUUGUUUUUUAUUACUUUAAUUUAAUAUUUUUAUUAUAUUUGCUUUUUGUAUUUCUAUAUUUAUUAUUAUAUAGUAGUGUGUAUUUCUAUUAUAUACAUAUAUAUAUAUUUAUAUAUAGUAUUAUUGUUUACUUUACUUUAAUAUUAUUCUUAUUAUCAUUAUAUCCAACCCAAUAAUAAUUCUUUCAUAAAAGUAAUAUUCCGUAUUUGGUAAUUCGAGACAACCGUGCCCUAACUUAUUGGGUUUCGAUUUUUCUCCUUUAACCUAAAUAACGGAAUACUCUUUUAAAUCGCGACAUGAGUUUUGAAAAAUGCUUAUUCUCGGAGAUACGAGGUGUUGUGCCCUAACUUACUGGGUAUGGCAUUUUGUUACCUCGAAAUAAGAUUUUUGUAAGUAAAGGCAAUAUUCGAUGUUUGGGAAUUCGAGGAAACGUGCCCUAGCUUACGGGGUUUCGAUUUUCCUCGUUCACCUUAACUAACUGAAUAACCUUUUGAAAUACACGAAUUUUUAUAUAAAAGGCAAGCUCGUUCUCGAAAAUUCAAGAUGUCGUGCCCUAACUUACUGGAUGUGACAUUUUAUAUUGUGAGACGAGAAGGUCCUUAACAUUUGAGCAUUUUCUUUACAAAGAAGGAUCGUAUUUUAAAUUCUUUCAAGUUUUCAAAUUUUCGACACUAAGACACUAAUUAAUCAACUAGGUACCAAUUUUGGGCGUAUCGAGGGUGCUAAUCCUUCCUCGUGCGUAACCGACUCCCGAACUCAUUUUCUGUUUUUCGUAGACCAAAAAUUAUCGUUUUAGUAAAUCUUAACUUUUAUUAAAAUGAUUAACUUAAGGUGAUCUGAUCACACCUAAAAAGAUUGGUGGCGACUCCUGUUUUAAUUUUUUUUCUCCAAGUCGAUACCCGUUUUUUUCAAAAAAAUGGUUACGACAGCUUGGCGACUCCACUGGAGACUUUUAUAAGAGAGUUAAGCCACAAGUUAAUUAACAUUUGUCUUUUUUCGAAAAUUGAGAAUUUGGUUUUGAUAUACGAUCACUUCAUUGCAUUUCACCCGCUUUUCGUACUGUUUUCAUCAUUUUAUUCCUAUUUUAUUUAAUUGUUUCAAGUUUUUAUGCAUAUAUCUUCUCGCAUUGCAUUGCAUGACCGUUGUGGUCACACCCUUAAGUGGGAGUGAGAAACUACGCCUUCGUAAGGUUUUCACCUCCGUGCAGGAUAGUGGAUCACUUUCGGAAUACAUCCGUACCUAUGGUUUCGUGAGAUUUUCAUCUCCGUGUAGCCAUAGGGAAAUGUAUUCUCCUGAAUUGAACUCGAUUCAAAUGAGCCUAUAAUGGGUGAGGAUCGAGGAAUGUGUUGGUUCAGGUACCCUUACUCUAGAACCAAACCACAUAUAGAGAGACCUAGGAGCCCACCCUAGGUAGAGCCACUCCAAACCCCUAGUGGUCAACCGAAUUGCUUUAUUUGUUAUUUAUUUAUCCUACACUAACGUGUUUUAUUUUUGUUUUGUUUAUAAUUGCAUUACAUUACAUCAUCCUAGGAAGGAGGUGUUGAUUCAUAUUUGAUUGCUAAAUAGAACAGUUUGUCAUAAGAAAACGAAUUUUUUGAUAAAGUGGAUUAUAAUACGGUUGUCUAAAUAUGAUCCAAGUGAACACAUGAAAGAAGACUGAUAGCUCGUGAAGAAAUACAAGACUUCGCUUCAUUGCCUGAAGACAGAAACUGACAGAUUAUUCGAGAGCCGUCACAUCUUGACCUUCUUAAAGGAGCUGACAAGUAUCACAGUAAUAAGUGAGCAACGAGUCGCAGCCUGGAUCGAGCAAAAAAGGAGUUAAUAUAGACAUCUCUUGGAGAAUUCGUCAGACUCGACCACAAGAUCCGGAUAUGAAGAGGAAGAUAGGUGUCUUCACUUGGAAUACAAGAGAAAAGCCGUAUAUGUAGUCCGUUUUAUGUAAAAGAAUUUGCUUUCUAG